GGUAUAUGGAGCAAUGCCUGUGUCUGAGCUUGACCUCACGUAAUCACUGUAGAGUUCCAGCUGGCUCUACAUUUUAGAGUUGAGAGUCUAAAGGGUGCUGUUGCUUGACCCCUAGAGAAGCCUGACCCAACCCCCCAAAAGAUGCUUUUCAGAUGGCCCGGUACUUAAUAUAUCGCUUAAUCCUGCCUUGAACUCAUGGCAAUCCUCCUGCCACCCCUCAUAAGUGCUGGGAUUACAUGUAUGAGCCGCCACUUUACUAAGUGUAAAACAGAUGUGAAGAGCAGGAGGUCCCAGUACUGAGCUGAACCAGUGGUUGUCGUUUGGUGCACUGGACGGAGGUUGCAGGCUGGUCUCUAUCUAGGGGAGGCUGGGGCAGCUAACUUGAAGAGCAGCAGACAGAGGCUGCGGGAGCCCUUUGUGAAGUAAAGGUUCUGGUGGGGAGACCUAGUCAUGCCUAGAGGCCUGGGCUGUGCAGGUGGGUGUGGCAGCAUCCGAGAUUGGGGGUGGUGGGCGGGGCCCAGAACCAAGGCCUCUGUGAUUGGCUGGACAGUGGGUUUCUCUGCAGGGCAGUGGAAAGUCAUGAAGGAUUCCAACCAUCCACAAGUCAAGUCGUGGGCAUCAAGAGCAACUGAGGAAGAGCCCGGCUCCCUUGGUAGCGGGGCAGGGACCCUGACUAACAGGGGAGGGCGACCUCACCCCCUCUCCUUCCUCUCCAGGUCCUGGGGCUGGCAGCCGUUUGCUCCCCGUGAAGCCACAGCGCACAUCCUUCAGCGUGACAUUGGAACAUCACUGGGGGAGUGGAGGGUGACGGAGCACCAUCCCAGGCGGUGUCUCAGAGGCAGCAUUAGCACAGAGAGAGGACACUUUGAAAGAGCUGGAGCUGAGACCACUGAGACCUUAUCCACAGGAAGACACCGCUACAGAAGCUCCGGUUGAACCGGCUGUGUCCUAGAGCCAAUCGCUCCCAGCCUGUGGGCCUGAUCUCCCUACCUCACUAGGAAGUACAAAGCCAAGGGCUGUUCUCCUCCUGGGCCAGCCUUCCUUCCCCGCCACCCAUCCCCAGGUUCAUUUCACAGAGGGGCAAAGUGGCCCCACCCCGUGUCCUCUGCCUCAGCUGUCAGGCCCGGCCUUUGGGUCUGCUGUUUCUCGAGGAACUUCUUUCCUCAGAGUUGCCGGAAACAGAAAACAAUCCCCCCCACAGCUCAUCUGAUGGCACAUAGGUAAAUAAUUGGCUACCUGUCCAUACAAUGGUACAUUAUGUGGCAACCAAAAAGAAACAAAGACACAGACACGUGGCGGGUCUUUGAAAGCAUCCCCCGGAGCUUUCAGAAGUGGGAACACUUUGCAAAGUCCAAUCACCAGCAGGCUUGAAAGAACCUGUGGGUGCCGGUGGAAGGGAUGACAUCUGCUGCACAGGGCAAGGUAACUGUGGGAGACAAAGUAUCAAACCUCUCUGGGGCGGCAGUGGCAGAGCUGGAACACACGUCCUUCACCCAUUGCUCACGUGGAAGGGAGCAUCAGACGGCGGAGAGAUGGCUCAUCUGUCAAGAGCACUGGCUGCUCUUCCCAAGGACCCAGGUUCAACUCCCAGCUCCCACAUGAUGACUCACAACCCUCUGUAACUCCAGUUCCAGGGGAUCCAAUGUCCUCUUCUGGCCUCUGUGGAUGCAUGAACGUGGUACACAGACACACAUGUAGGACACACAUAAAAUAAAGAUGAAAGGAAUCUAGAAACAAA